UCCGUAGGCGGGUAAUUAAGUCAGAGGUGAAAUCCCACAGCUUAACUGUGGAACUGCCUUAGAUACUGGUUAUCUUGAGUUUUAGUGAAGUAGAUAGAAUGUGUAGUGUAGCGGAGAAAUGCAUAGAUAUUACACAGAAUACCGAUUGCGAAGGCAGUCUACUAACUAACAACUGACGCUAAUGGACGAAAGCGUGGGGAGCGAACAGGAUUAGAUACCCUGGUAGUCC
rnacentral:rRNA from 1 species